UACAGAGGUCCCGAGCGUUGUUCGGAUUCAUUGGGCGUAAAGGGUGCGUAGGCGGUCUUCUAAGUUUGAUGUGAAAUCCCGGGGCUCAACCCUGGAAUUGCAUUGAAUACUGGAGGACUAGAGUACCGGAGAGGAAACUGGAAUUUACGGUGUAGCAGUGAAAUGCGUAGAGAUCGGAAGGAAGACCAGUGGCGAAGGCGAGUUUCUGGACGGUAACUGACGCUGAGGCACGAAGGCCAGGGGAGCAAACGGG
rnacentral:rRNA from 1 species